CGAACACUUUUGAGAACACUUCUCCUAAGAGUAUAUCCUCUGCACAGGCUAAAAGAUUCACAAAAUUCAGGGAAAGGAAAGGGCUUAUUGAGAAAGAUGUGGUGAGAACUGAUAGAUCGAUCCUUUCAAAUAUUCUACGAGAUAUACUGUUGACCUAUUCAUUUUACAACUUUGAUCUUGGUUAUUGCCAGAGCAAAAGAAACAAAAAGUUUCUGAAAUAAAGACUGGAAUUGAUGAAGCUGAAGCUUUGAUUCGAAAAAUGGACCUCGAGGCAAGAAGUUUGCAGCCAAACGUCAAGGGUGUGCUUCUUGCUAAGUUGCGGGAGUAUAAAUCAGAUCUAA